rnacentral:rRNA from 1 species
GACGGCUCAGUAACACGUGGCUAACCUACCCUCGGGUGGGGGAUAACCUCGGGAAACUGAGGAUAAUACCCCAUAGGAGAAGAGGUCUGGAAUGAUCCUUCUCUGAAAACAUAUGUGCCCGAGGAUGGGGCUGCGUCUGAUUAGGUAGUUGGUGGGGUAACGGCCCACCAAGCCUACGAUCAGUACGGGCCUUGAGAGAGGCAGCCCGGAGAUGGGGACUGAGACACGGCCCCAGGCCCUACGGGGCGCAGCAGGCGCGAAACCUCCGCAAUGCACGAAAGUGCGACGGGGGGACCCCAAGUGCUUACGCACUGCGUAGGCUUUUCUAAAGUGUAAAAAGCUUUAGGAAUAAGGGUUGGGCAAGUCCGGUGCCAGCAGCCGCGGUAACACCGGCGGCCCGAGUGGUGACCACUUUUAUUGGGCCUAAAGCGUCCGUAGCCGGUCCAGUAAGUCCCUGUUUAAAUCCUACGGCUUAACCGUAGGGCUGGCAGGGAUACUGCUGGACUUGGGACCGGGAGAGGGCGAGGGUACUUCAGGGGUAGCGGUGAAAUGUGUUGAUCCCUGGAGGACCACCUAUGGCGAAGGCACUCGCCUGGAACG